ACGUUCUCGUACAAAUACAUUCGCAGCAUAAAUUGGCUGAGCCGUGUGAACAGUCACAGCGGGAAGUAGCUAGCUAACAGCCACUACUGUUUUUGUUUUGACGGUCGCUUAUGGGCUCUUACGGUUUUAAAAUUACGUAGCAGUUUGGAAUAUCUUAAAGCGUAGUAGACACAUGAAAAAUUGUGUCACUUACAGGAGCCGGACCUUACGCAUGUUGUUGCCUCUCUGCCUCUAUUUCAGCAUGUUGCGUUUGCCUGUUGUGAGUCGGAGUCUCUUUCCCGCAGCUAUUACCAAAGGAGGCGCGGCUGCAACUAACAAUGCUCGCACCGCAGCUACAGCAACAGCGGCUGCCAGUAACCUGGUGGAGGUGUUCGUGGAUGGGAAGCCUGUCAUGGUGGAGCCAGGAACCACCGUGUUGCAGGUAUGUGAGAAGGCAGGCAUGCAAAUCCCUCGCUUCUGCUACCAUGAACGCCUGUCAGUUGCUGGAAACUGUCGCAUGUGUCUUGUGGAGAUAGAGAAAGUUCCAAAGCCAGUGGCAGCUUGUGCUAUGCCUGUUAUGAAGGGCUGGAACAUUUUAACCAACUCUGACAAAACAAGGAAGGCCAGAGAGGGUGUGAUGGAGUUUCUGCUGGCCAACCACCCAUUAGAUUGUCCAAUUUGUGACCAAGGGGGAGAGUGUGAUCUACAGGACCAGUCCAUGCAGUUUGGCAGCGACAGGAGUCGCUUCACAGAGGGCAAAAGAGCUGUGGAAGACAAAAACAUUGGCCCACUCAUCAAAACCAUUAUGACUCGCUGUAUCCAGUGCACUCGCUGUGUGCGUUUUGCCAGUGAGAUCGCAGGGGUGGAAGACCUGGGCACCACUGGCAGAGGCAACGACCUGCAGAUUGGGACCUAUGUGGAGAAGAUGUUCAUGUCGGAGUUGUCUGGGAAUGUUAUUGAUAUAUGCCCAGUGGGAGCCCUGACCUCUAAACCAUAUGCAUUCACUGCUCGCCCUUGGGAGACCAGGAAGACAGAAUCCAUUGAUGUUCUGGAUGCUGUGGGUAGUAACAUUGUGGUGAGCACUCGCGGUGGUGAGGUGAUGAGAAUUCUGCCCCGUCUUAAUGAGGAUAUUAAUGAGGAGUGGAUCUCGGACAAAACCAGGUUUGCUUAUGAUGGGCUCAAGAGGCAGAGGCUUACUCAGCCGAUGGUGAAAAAUGAGUCCGGGCAGUUGGUUCCCACGACCUGGGAAGAUGUGCUGACUCGAGUUGCUGGAGCAUUGCAAGGGGUUAACGGAAAUGAUGUAGCUGCUGUUGUUGGAGGCUUGGUGGAUGCAGAGGCUCUCAUUUCCCUGAAAGACUUGCUGAACCAUUUGAAUAGUGACAACCUGUGCACUGAGGAGGUGUUCCCUAUGACUGGAGCCGGAUCUGACCUGCGUUCAAACUAUCUUCUAAAUACUGGGAUUGCUGGCAUUGAAGAAGCUGACCUUCUGCUUCUGGUAGGCACCAAUCCACGCUAUGAGGCUCCUCUUUUCAAUGCACGAAUCAGAAAAAGCUGGCUUCACAAUGAGUUGCAAGUGGCUCUCGUGGGCAAGGAAGUGGACUUAAGUUAUACCUAUGACCAUCUUGGGGAGUCUGCCAAGGUUCUUCAAGAAAUUGCAUCAGGAACUCACCCGUUCUCCCAGGUCUUGGCUAAAGCAAAGCACCCUGUUGUUGUGGUUGGUAGCAGUGGCCUGCAGAGAGAAGAUGGAGCUGCGAUAAUGGCAGCUGUAUCAACCAUUGCUCAUAAUGCUCGUGUCAGCAGUGGAGUGGAGGACACCUGGAAGGUUCUCAAUGUGCUUCACAGGGUUGCCAGUCAAGUGGCUGCACUCGAUCUUGGGUACAAGCCAGGAGUGGACACUAUCAGGAAGAAUCCACCCAAAGUUCUGUUCCUAUUAGGAGCUGAUGCUGGCUGCAUUACUCGCCAAGACCUCCCUAAGGAUAGUUUCAUAAUUUAUCAAGGUCACCAUGGCGAUGUUGGUGCACCAAUAGCGGAUAUCAUACUCCCCGGAGCUGCAUAUACUGAGAAAUGUGGUACUUAUGUGAACACUGAGGGUCGUGCCCAGCAGACCAGAAUAGCAGUGACUCCUCCAGGUGUGGCCAGGGAGGACUGGAAGAUCAUCAGAGCAAUUUCUGAGCUUGCUGGAUUUGCUCUGCCCUAUGAUACUCUCGAUGAAGUGCGUGAUAGACUGGCAGAGGUUUCCCCAAAUCUGGUGCGAUAUGAUGAUGUUGAGGAGGCCAACUACUUUAAGCAGGCUACUGAACUGUCAAAGGCAGUGAACCAGGCUGUUUUAACUGAACCUUUAGUCCCUCCACAGCUUACUGUGAAGGACUUUUAUAUGACAGUCAUCAGAACAAGGGUUCUGUUGGGUACAACCCCAAAUCCAGCUCUCCAUGUUAAGCAAACUUUUGACAAACAUUAAGCUGUGUUUACUGCUGUGUUCCCUAUUGAAGAAAGAUUUUGCUACUUCUGUAGCAGGUCAGAAGAUCCGAUAAGCAGAGCCUCCCAGACGAUGGCCAAGUGUGUGAAAGCUGUCAAAGAGGGAGCACAAGCUGUGGACGAGCCAGCUAUAUGCUAACACACACAGUAGACAGCCAUCCAACUCUUGGGGGAAAAAAAAAAAAAUUAUACGCACAACUCCUCUAUUUGCACAUUCCUAGAAACAUAUUUAUUUGCACUUGUGUUUUACUAUUGUAGAUGCUUAAUUUGGAACAUUAUGGAACUGACUGACUUACAUUACUAACCUGCAGAAACAUGUCUGUGCUUUACUUGCAGAGUGAACAUGUAACCUUAGGUUUAACAAACCUCCAGAGAUGCACCCCUGACAGUUAAUGUUUGCACCUGUUAGGACAUUCACAUUUUAAUAGUAGUGAUCAAAGGUUUAAAAUCUUUAUCCUCCAAAGGUAAAUCUAGUAUCUUGUCUUCCUGUAAAACUACUAAUAUUAAAAGUGUUAUGAUUAUAUUUUCCUAAAGGUAUAGUAUUGCAAGUGUAGCUAUUUGUGAGUGUGAUACUUAAUAAAGCAGUUUUCUGUAGCAAGUCAAA